rnacentral:rRNA from 1 species
UACGUAGGGUGCAAGCGUUGUCCGGAAUUAUUGGGCGUAAAGAGCUCGUAGGCGGUUUGUCGCGUCUGCUGUGAAAACUCGGGGCUUAACUCCGGGCCUGCAGUGGGUACGGGCAGACUAGAGUGCGGUAGGGGAGACUGGAAUUCCUGGUGUAGCGGUGAAAUGCGCAGAUAUCAGGAGGAACACCGGUGGCGAAGGCGGAUCUCUGGGCCGAUACUGACGCUGAGCAGCGAAAGCGUGGGGAGCGAACAGG